CCCAACUACAGCUCCGUACCAAAAAUUCCCAGCGCUAGGCCGAGCAGCACAAAGCGGGAGGCGUAAAAGAUCGGCUCAUCAGUCGCUUUGCGGGCGCGAGCCACUUAUGUGUCACGGACCCGCGAUAUAUUGGAGGCCGUCCAAUUCUGCGGAAAUUAUUAAAGCUAUGUAAACGGUCAGCCAAUUUCUACCCGAAAUAUAGAUCUGGGUCUCGACCUAUUUUCGUUUCCCCAUACGAAGUGCCGAGGAGUGCCCAGAUGUGAAGCCGGCGGCAACGACUGUCGUUUUUUUUAUAUCCAUCAGUGUAACCGCUGAUUCCUAUUUUUAUGCUAUAGUGUCAUUAUUGUAAUUAGCUUAGUAAAUUUCUUUUGGUUGUGUUUUUAAAUUCUGUUCGGAAGAAAUAGCAAGUGGAAUGUGUGACAGGGCGAAAGUGAACAACGGUUAAACGGCAGAGGAGAGCGUGAGUUUUUUUUUUGUAAAAGUAUUUCUCCAGCUUUCGUUUUAGGAACGUUGCCGCAGUCCAUGGAAGCGCUUUCAUCGCUGUUUCAACGCAUUUAUUAAAACAAAUCAAAGGAAGGCCUCAGGGGCUUCGUCGCUUAAGAGAGGCUGUGCGCUCUCCCUUAUGCCCUACUGGCAACCAUAAGCGCUUACGCCGCGCAUAAGAACCAGCCCUCUUAAGAACAAGGCACAAAAGGGAAGAUGCGAGGCUGGUCGCUCUGACGUUCUUUUAUGCUUUCUACUUGCGGUUGCUUUCGCUAAUGCACUCGAAUAACUGACCUGCCAUAACGAUCGCGGCGCACAGUUUUUACAUUCCCUUUUGCAUAUUUAUUUAUUAUUAUUAUCUAUUUGCCUAACAUAAAAGCUAGAGAUAUGUACCCUUCCCUUCUUUCAAUUUGUAAGUUAAAUUUCAAUCUAAAGUGUAUUAUUAAGAGUUAAUCAUUUAUUAGUUUACUAGUGCGAUGCAUGUGCUAUUGCUCAAUAUGAAAUAUAGGAUUUAACAUGAA